CUUUGAACUUAACCUCUCUGGUCUCCAGCUGUAGUUGUCUCCUGAUAUUUAUUGAUGGUUGGAAAUGACCAGUGAGUGUCCUUAGCUAUAAGGAAUGCUGGCUCCAUUUAGGAGCUCUUGCCGGACCUGCUGGUCAGGAAGCCACAGCAUCCACCUGGCUCUGCCGCUCUGGUGUUGAGAGUAAGAUGUGUCAUCACCACAGCUUUCAUAUGAACUCACCCUCGUGCCUGUGCGAGAGCACACUACCAACUCUACCAUCCUCCAGACUCUACAAUAAGAUCUUUAAACAUUAAAUACAAACUACUACAGAUAAGCUCACAUCUCCA